GCCACUCAUGAGCCAGGUUGUUGAUAUGCUUUCGAAGAACGUCCGGCUUAAUGAGAUGCUACUUUCACCACCAGGUUUCUUCCAAGAUUCAAUUGGCCUCAGUGGGCCACCAUCUUCAACUAAAAAGUCAUCUGCCGACUCUACUAGCAACCAGAUGAGCUCUUUUCCUGUCACAAUCACUGAGGUAACCCCUAGAUGAAGAACAUUCUUUUAAUUGCUAUCGACACUCAAGUAUUGGUAAGAGCUCUCAGCUGGAAAAUGGGGAAAAAAAUUAGUUCCUAGGCACAUUCAUGUAUUUUAUCCCUCGCAUUGCGUUAGGUAAAUCAUAUACAGGUUUUUCUAUCUAUAGGGAAAGUGAGCGUAGUUAAACACAAUUGAAGUGGCGAAUUUAUCUUCUUGUUGAAGGAGGUGAUGUGUGGCAAUUAUUUAUAUGUUUUUUGUAAUUGUUUUUCUUGUCAUGAUUGGAUGGAAGUGUUAUAUUUAUAAAUUUUAUAAUGGAAAGGUUUGUUUUGUAUUUCAAAA
rnacentral:misc_RNA from 1 species